rnacentral:rRNA from 1 species
GGCGGCGUGCUUAACACAUGCAAGUCGAGCGGAAAGGCCCUUCGGGGUACUCGAGCGGCGAACGGGUGAGUAACACGUGAGUAACCUGCCCUAGGCUUUGGGAUAACCCUCGGAAACGGGGGCUAAUACCGGAUAUUCAUGCUGGACGGCAUCGUUUGGUGUGGAAAGUUUUUCGGCCUGGGAUGGGCUCGCGGCCUAUCAGCUUGUUGGUGGGGUGAUGGCCUACCAAGGCGACGACGGGUAGCCGGCCUGAGAGGGCGACCGGCCACACUGGGACUGAGACACGGCCCAGACUCCUACGGGAGGCAGCAGUGGGGAAUAUUGCACAAUGGGCGGAAGCCUGAUGCAGCGACGCCGCGUGAGGGAUGAAGGCCUUCGGGUUGUAAACCUCUUUCGACAGGGACGAAGCGCGAGUGACGGUACCUGGAGAAGAAGCGCCGGCCAACUACGUGCCAGCAGCCGCGGUAAGACGUAGGGCGCGAGCGUUGUCCGGAUUUAUUGGGCGUAAAGAGCUCGUAGGCGGCUUGUUGCGUCAGCUGUGAAAACCCGCAGCUCAACUGUGGGCUUGCAGCUGAUACGGGCAGGCUUGAGUUCGGUAGGGGAGACUGGAAUUCCUGGUGUAGCGGUGAAAUGCGCAGAUAUCAGGAGGAACACCGGUGGCGAAGGCGGGUCUCUGGGCCGAUACUGACGCUGAGGAGCGAAAGCGUGGGGAGCGAACAGGAUUAGAUACCCUGGUAGUCCACGCUGUAAACGUUGGGCGCUAGGUGUGGGGGGCCUCUCCGGUUCUCUGUGCCGCAGCUAACGCAUUAAGCGCCCCGCCUGGGGAGUACGGCCGC